UGCACGGCACUGCGGUGGUUUCGGUAAUGACCACGGAGGACAAACGGAUGUGUCACAGACAACCUGAGGAGCUCUGUCUCGUACGUCUUUUGGCGCAACAUCCUGUUACGAAUUAAUAUCCGAUUAAUUCCUAGGGUCCCCGAAUGAUAUAGAAACUCAAGCUGGAAGUUGUCGCUUUAUUGCUGGGGUAAAUCACUGUGGUGCGAUUUAAAUCUGAAAAGAAGUGACAGGGUGCGCGGCUGCUUGCACAGACAUCAGAAUAGGAGGCUGAACCAGAGUGGGACAAUCUCGAGUGUGUUUGACAGACUAUGGACUUCAUUUCCCAUCAGCCCCUCCAAAAGGCACUGCCACCUUUCCGCCCCCAGAUCUUGUGACAGAAGAAAUGCAUUUGCUACGAAGUUAAUGAGAAGUAAAUCUUACCAAAUAAUAUAUACUUACAACAAAGCUUUUUCAGUAUUACACCUUUAUCAUUUAGUUGUGAAAUUGUUAUGUCAGAAAUUAAUAUCCGGGCCACUCAGAAUUGAUAUUUUGUGCUCAUUUAAACAUUUUAAUCAGCCUAGUUCAUCAUAACUGAUGCUUUAUGUUCUCAACUAAUUGAUUUUGGGGAUGAACAGUGGGCUCUAACCUUCUGAAAGUGUGGAUCCCUGCUCACUGAAGCCAAAAUGAAAGGCUCAGUGUUCGCCGAUCCAACCACUGUACAGACUGAAGACAGCGAAUCUGCGCAGCGCCAGAUUUGCAGUGACGUCAAUGGAUAUCGCUGUGUGCAGAAUAUUUCCUGCGCCUACGUUUCCUACUUCCUGUUGAAACCAUGAUGUGGAUUAAAGUGGACAUGCAGUACAAGUGGAGUAACAGGUGGAUAGUCCGUAGGGAUGGUGAGUAAAACAUUCCUGUAGUAAGAACCUUUUGGGCUUUGAUGGUGAAGUGGCUCGGCCCGCUGCUGUCUCUGCUAACUCAGUGUGGAAGUCCAGCGCGGGCGAUGACAGUGUGAAAUCCAAACAGCAUAACUUCAGCAUCCAGCCUGAGAAGCGCGGGGGCAGAGAGCCCCGGUUCCUCAGAGGGGGAGGCUGACAGGAGAGGGCAGGUGUUCGUGACGCUCCACUCGCUUCCCCGUAUCUCAGGGAUGUUCAUUAGCCUUUCAGUUCUCCCGGGGGGAACGACUCUCUGAAAUAUCCCCCGCUCUCCUACGCACUGCCACGCAGUGCUGAUUAGCACCCAGAAUGAGCCCACUCAAGACUCCAUGAAUGCUAACUGGUAAUAAAAACGUACGCUGGUUUUAUCUGAGCCGUGUGUGGGCUCCGUGCGUCCAGCUUGGGCACGUGCGCGCUCGCCAUCCCUGUGCUAUGCCCCGCAAACACGCGGCUCGCUUACGGCGCUGCUGCUGGAGUCUCGCGGCUCGUCUACGGCGCUGCUGCUGGAGUCUCGCGGCUCGUCUGCGGCGCUGCUGCUGGAGUCUCAGUGUUUCUCUCCACUGUGAAGGCUCACGGGCGGCCGUUUGCCUCCUGCAGGGCGGCCGCAGCUGCUCGUCUCGCUUUGCGCGCUGGAUUCUUCCCUUUGGCACCGUGCUCUGUCUUACACAGAGAGCCUCCCUUACGCUGUUUCUAAUGAUACCCAACCCGUCUGAGACCAAACCUCUAACCAGAAACACCAAGUUAUGAACCAAACAAACAAACAAACAAAAACAAGCCCAGAAACUGAACAACUCUUAAUACCUUAAAACACGGGAAUAAUCCUGAAAUCUUUGUUUUCAUUGUAUCAUGAUCGUAUCAGAGGUAGUGCCUAUCUGAGUUUGGGAAGCACAUUUUAAAUCUUGUCUUGUGAAGUGCAACUCUUUCUUGUUAAAAAUCAGUGGCAAAACUGGUCCUAAAACAUUACAUUACAUUAUAGGCAUUUAGCAGACGCUCUUAGUUAAAAACAAAAAGGAUAACACUUCCGUGGCAAGAUGAGAGUGUAAGUGUGUAUUGCUCUCUGUGUGCUAGCAUAGGGCUUCAUGGCCUUGGAUGGGUAUAUAAAGUACAGUACAUGUUACAGAUACGCUGAUAAUUGCAGAUCAUGUUUGUCAUACUGCAGUUGUCGGGCACUUUAAGUCCGCUUGGUGAAAGGGUAAAGCAUGGCAAUCUUUUCUGGAAUGGAUUAUAAUUGGCCUGUUACUAUUUUAAUCUUUAAGCUUUACUUGUCUGUUUGGCAUUUGUCAUUUUUCAGUCCUGUGGGUAUCGCCUAACAAGACACCAGUAGGAGUACAGGGGCGGGCCCUGAACACCACGGGCUGUGCAGUGGGCCCUGAACACCACGGGCUGUGCAGUGGGCCCUGAACACCACGUGCUGUGCGCUGACUGUGAGCGUGUGGAGUUAAUGUGGAAUUAGCUCUCUGUAUUGCCUGUAUCUAUAUUUGUCUUACUUUUUAGAAAAAUAAUUGAUUUCUUUUUUU